GUUCUUUCAUAUAUAAUAUCGGCAGCACAUAUUGGAACGAUACAGAGAAGAUUAGCAUGGCCCCUGCCCAUCACUAACUUUGGAUGCAGUGACAUCUACACCCAUUUC